GAGGAAUAUUGGUCAAUGGACGAGAGUCUGAACCAGCCAAAUCGCGUGAAGGAAGACUGCCCUACGGGUUGUAAACUUCUUUUGUACAGGAAUAAAAGACAUUACGUGUAAUGUAUUGCAUGUACUGUACGAAUAAGCAUCGGCUAACUCCGUGCCAGCAGCCGCGGUAAUACGGAGGAUGCGAGCGUUAUCCGGAUCUAUUGGGUUUAAAGGGUGCGCAGGCGGGAUUUUAAGUCAGCGGUGAAAUUUUCAGGCUCAACCUGAACACUGCCGUUGAAACUGGGAUUCUUGAGUAUGGAUGAAGUAGGCGGAAUUCGUUGUGUAGCGGUGACAUGCUUAGAUAUAACGAGGAACUCCGAUUGCGUAGGCAGCUUACUAAGCCAUAACUGACGCUCAAGCACGAAAGCGUGGGGAUCAAACA
rnacentral:rRNA from 1 species